AUACGGAGGGUGCAGGCGUUAUUCGGAAUCACUGGGCGUAAAGGGUGCGUAGGCGGUUUGAUAAGUCUGAUGUGAAAUCCUAUGGCUCAACCAUAGAACUGCAUUGGAAACUGUCAGACUAGAAUACUGAAGGGGCAGAUGGAAUUAGUGGUGUAGGGGUAAAAUCCGUAGAUAUCACUAGGAAUACCGAAAGCGAAAGCGAUCUGCUGGGAAGUUAUUGACGCUGAGGCACGAAAGCGUGGGGAGCAAACGGGAUUAGAAACCCUAGUAGUCC
rnacentral:rRNA from 1 species